CAGUAGCCACGGGAAUACAGAGGGUGCGAGCGUUAAUCGGAUUUACUGGGCGUAAAGCGUGCGUAGGCGGCUUCUUAAGUCGGAUGUGAAAUCCCUGAGCUUAACUUAGGAAUUGCAUUCGAUACUGGGAAGCUAGAGUAUGGGAGAGGAUGGUAGAAUUCCAGGUGUAGCGGUGAAAUGCGUAGAGAUCUGGAGGAAUACCGGUGGCGAAGGCGGCCCCCUGGACAAAGACUGACGCUCAGGUGCGAAAGCGUGGGGAGCAAACAGGAUUAGAUACCCCUGUAGUCCCUGUCUCUUAUAA
rnacentral:rRNA from 1 species